rnacentral:rRNA from 1 species
AGAACGAACGCUGGCGGCAGGCUUAACACAUGCAAGUCGAACGAUGUAGCAAUACAUAGUGGCGCACGGGUGAGUAAUACAUGGGAACGUGCCUUGGAGUCGAGGAUAACACCGGGAAACUGGUGCUAAUACUUGAUAUUCCCUUCGGGGGAAAGAUUUAUCGCUCCAAGAUCGGCCCAUGCCAGAUUAGAUAGUUGGUGGGGUAAUGGCCUACCAAGUCUACGAUCUGUAGCUGGUCUGAGAGGACGACCAGCCACACUGGAACUGAGACACGGUCCAGACUCCUACGGGAGGCAGCAGUGGGGAAUAUUGGACAAUGGGCGAAAGCCUGAUCCAGCCAUGCCGCGUGAGUGAUGAAGGCCUUAGGGUUGUAAAGCUCUUUGUGAGGGAAGAUAAUGACGGUACCUCAAGAAUAAGCACGGCUAACUUCGCGCCAGCAGCCGC